UACGUAGGGUGCAAGCGUUAAUCGGAAUUACUGGGCGUAAAGCGUGCGCAGGCGGUUGUGUAAGUCAGAUGUGAAAUCCCCGGGCUCAACCUGGGAAUGGCAUUUGAGACUGCACAGCUAGAGUGUGUCAGAGGGGGGUAGAAUUCCACGUGUAGCAGUGAAAUGCGUAGAGAUGUGGAGGAAUACCGAUGGCGAAGGCAGCCCCCUGGGAUAACACUGACGCUCAUGCACGAAAGCGUGGUGAGCAAACAGG
rnacentral:rRNA from 1 species